CCUACGGGUGGCAGCAGUGAGGAAUAUUGGUCAAUGGACGAGAGUCUGAACCAGCCAAGUAGCGUGAAGGAUGACUGCCCUAUGGGUUGUAUAAUUCUUUUAUAUGGGAAUAAAACGUUCCACGUGUGGGAUUUUGUAUGUACCAUAUGAAUAAGGAUCGGCUAACUCCGUGCCAGCAGCUGCGGUAAUACUGAGGAUCCGAGCGUUAUCCGGAUUUAUUGGGUUUAAAUGGAGCGUAGGUGGAUUGUUAAGUCUGUUGUGAAAGUGUGCGGCUCAACCGUAAAAUUGCAGUUGAAACUGGCAGUCUUGAGUACAGUAGAGGUGGGCGGAAUUCGUGGUGUAGCGGUGAAAUGCUUAGAUAUCACGAAGAACUCCGAUUGCGAAGGCAGUUCACUGGACUGCAACUGACACUGAGGCUCGAAAGUGUGGGUAUCAAACAGGAUUAGAUACCCGAGUAGUC
rnacentral:rRNA from 1 species